CAUGUGGUGAACAGCAGCUCGAUAUAAUACUUCAGUUGUUAAUUAAACGCCGAAGUUAAAGGGUCUCUGUAGGCAAGUAUUAGUGACACUGCGUCAUUCUGCGCAAUGCCGUCGCAAACUAUUGUGGAUAUUACAGAAGUGUCCUCAUCCAGGGUUGGAUAUUGGAGCUGAUACCUCAAUAAUAACUUUUUGUUCAGUAAAGUGUGAUUUUCUACUAGCUUGUGUAGAGUUUAAUUAAACAUUUUAUAAUGUUAAAAAAUAAUUACAUAUAUUAUUUAAAAACAUUGGAAAUACUUAUAAAAGUUUCCUGCAAAUAGAAAAAAUCGUUUAAGCAGCACAAAAUAGAUUUAUGGGGAAUAAAACGGAUACCAAAAUUUGAGAACUAAUGCUCAACAGGAAUUAAUGCUGUACUUAUGAACGAAACUAAAUAACGGGAUCAAUAGUGCUAAAGUCAUAAAAUUGGCAACGUUUAACCUACUUUACUGCUGAAACAACAAAUAAGCAAAAGGAACAAUAACAAGCAUUUUAAACGCCGGCGGAGGUGACUAGUUAUAAUCCAUUGUAAAAUUCAUAUAUAUAUUUCAAUACAGUUGGUAUAUGUAUGUGUGUGCUGCACUAGUCCGAAGGCGUUGGAAAACCCGCUGACAUUGGAAAAUUUCUUCUUACUGUGCUGCUACGCUCUGCAUGUCGUAAUGAUUUGUUUCAUACAAGAGAAGUUGCCAUCAGCUGCUGGCUCCGAACCAAACAUGUGCGCUCAGAUCGCUUUCGUCGGAACCGAACCAUUGGCAACGGGUGGCUUUUUAACAGAACCGAAAUACUGAGAAAUAGCCCUUUAUGCCUUCAUAGUCGGGACAUUAGUCAGCAUAAUUUGUUCCGCAAUUUAUUUAACAUUGAAGAUCGCAUACAUGGUUUUUUAUUCACAAUUCCAUACAAAGGUAAUUACUUGAUAUUGACAAAAAAAUUAAAGAAAAUAAUUCUUGAAGUUGGAAAUAAACGUUAUAUAUCCGGCAAAUAUUGAAUAUCUCACUUUGAAAUAAUUUUUUUUUUUUUAAUUUUAGUCUUUGUUUUCUAACUUGAUUUUUGUCUAAAGUAACGUUUUUUUCAUAGCAAUUAAAUAGUCUUAUUUAAUAAUCUUGUUAAUGACUUCAACUCUGAAACUUGUAAAUAGGCAAGGUACACUUUUAUUGUUAUAAUUACACUCUCGCAAAACAUUGCUAAAGAGUAUAAUACUGUCUGUCCAUCCGUCCAUCCGUCUAUGCAUCCAGUAACUUGAGUAAAAAUUAAGAUACUUUGUAAAUCACUUACAAUAAGACUUACGAGUACAAUAAGAAAAAAUCGGGUGGGGCUGUGCCGGAGCACACGGCCGUUGGUUUUAACGUGAAACGUCUAUAUUAGCGAAUCGCUUUUAAAGUAAAAUAUUGAAAUGAAAACAAGAUUGACGAUGUUUUAAGUAUUUUAAUUUAAUUUUAAUUUUUUAUAAUUUUAAAAGAACAGGUACAUAAUAGAAACAUAAAUUAGUUAUUAUUAUCGGAGAUGAGUUCUGUCCCGGGGCAAUAUCCAAACAUUGCUCCUCAUUACAUAGCAAAGUAUGUUGUCGAGCCAGCAGGAUUUCAGAUUCUGGAGAAAAGUUGGGGUCGACAGACUCAAUCUGAAAUUCGAGCCCGAUAUAGUCAUCGAUGGACGACCAAAUCGUUAAAUUAAAUAAAGUUAUCUUCGUAGCGUAAUCGACGA
rnacentral:lncRNA from 1 species